rnacentral:rRNA from 1 species
GACGAACGCUGGCGGCGUGCUUAACACAUGCAAGUCGAACGGAGAGGCCUGCUUUCCCUUGUGGAUUGCGGGUACUCGAGUGGCGAACGGGUGAGUAACACGUGAGUGAUCUGCCCCCAACUUGGGUAUAAGCCUGGGAAACUGGGUCUAAUUCCCGGUAGGACUGCAGGGUGGUGCCUGUGGUGGAAAACGAUUUUCUAGUGGUUGGGGAUGAGCUCGCGGCCUAUCAGCUUGUUGGUGGGGUAAUGGCCUACCAAGGCGGCGACGGGUAGCCGGCCUGAGAGGGUGGACGGCCACAUUGGGACUGAGAUACGGCCCAGACUCCUACGGGAGACAGCAGUGGGGAAUAUUGCACAAUGGGCGGAAGCCUGAUGCAGCGACGCCGCGUGGGGGAUGACGGCCUUCGGGUUGUAAACUCCUUUCGACCGCGAGGAAGCCACCUGGUUGGAAGGGUGGUGACGGUAGUGGUAGAAGAAGCACCGGCUAACUACGUG